rnacentral:rRNA from 1 species
GAUGAACGCUAGCGGCAGGCCUAACACAUGCAAGUCGAGGGACCGGCGCACGGGUGCGUAACGCGUAUGCAAUCUGCCUUACACUAAGGGAUAGCCCAGAGAAAUUUGGAUUAAUACCUUAUAGUGUAAGAUGAGCAUGCGUCCCAUUAGCUAGUUGGUAUGGUAACGGCAUACCAAGGCAAUGAUGGGUAGGGGUCCUGAGAGGGAGAUCCCCCACACUGGUACUGAGACACGGACCAGACUCCUACGGGAGGCAGCAGUGAGGAAUAUUGGUCAAUGGUCGCAAGACUGACCCAGCCAUGCCGCGUGCAGGAUGAAGCAUUAUGGUGUGUAAACUGCUUUUGUACGGGAAGCGGUACCGUAAGAAUAAGGAUCGGCUAACUCCGUGCCAGCAGCCGCGGUAAUAC